rnacentral:lncRNA from 1 species
AGCGCCCUGGGCCGGGCCCGCCGCGGGGCCUGGGCUCGCGGACCCUUGGUCGCCGCCCGCCCCGGAGCUGGAGCCGCCGCGGCCGCGGCUGCGGGCCGGGAACUUACCCUUUGCCGUCUGCGAGGCCGGCGGAGGUGGAGCGCGGGCUCGGUUCCGGCGGACUCGGUCCGAGGGGAGUUGGGGUGCGGGGGCUGUGCCCCAGGUCGAACGCCGGUGCUCGACGGACGCGGGGCGGGGGCGGGUUUGUGUCCCGCGCCUCCUGGGGGCAGCGCCGACCGCGGGCGCCCCGGAGCGGAACGGAAAGGAAUUCGGCCCGGGGAGAGCGUGCUGAACGCGGCGACACGCCGGACCGAAAGCCCCGGCGGGCGUGCGGAGGGCACGGACGGCCCGGCCCUACGGCCCCCGGCUCGGGGAGACCGGCCACUCCGCGUGGCCCUCACCCCGGAAGCAAAACUGGACCAGGGGGUGAGCAGAAUAAAUGCCUCUGUUUAAUCUGCCAUGAAAACUGGAAACUUCUCUCCGCCUUCCUAAACAGUAGUGUGAUAUGGGGAGGAAGAGAGUGAAAGAGAGGUAUCGCACCUGCAGAGGAAAUUAUCAGUUGGAGAGAGGGGACAAGAUGCUUCCCCCUAAGAUCAGGAACAGGACAAGGCCAUCUGCUCUCACCACUCCUAUGCAACGUUAUCUUGAAAGUCUGAGGUACUGCAAAGACAACACAAUGAAAUAAAAGGUAUGCAGGUUGGGAAGUAAGAAAUAAAACUGUCUUUACUGGCAUCUGACGUGAUUGUCUAUGUAGAAAUUCCAAAAAAAUCAAUAGAAUGAAUACUUGAUCGUAGUAAGGACACAAUAUGAGGUUAAUAUAAAAAAGUCAAUCGCAAUUUUAUAUACCAACAAUGAAGAAGGAAUUUGGAACACACAAAAACAUUUACAUUGGCACUUCAAAGGAAAGAGGUUAGGUAUAAAUCUAACAAAAUGUGAAUAAGCUCUAUAAUAGGAAAACUACAAAGCUCUGAUGAAAGAAGAUAUAAAUGAAGAGAUAUACUUCAUGCAUAAAAAUAGGAUGACAAUGCUGCCAACUGUCAUUUCUGACUCCAUCUAUAGACUCAAUGUGUUCCCAAAGAAUAGCACAGAAAUAUGACCACCAAGCUAUUACCAAACUGGUCUUUAGCAAAAGAGUAAAGGCAAUGCAAUGGAGAAUGGACAGCCUUUUCAACAGAUGGUUCUGGAACAAGUGGACAUCUACACACAAAAAGUCACUGCAGACAUCUUUCACAAGUUAAUGAAAUUAAAUCAGACCUAAAUGUAAAACAAAACUAGUAAACUUCCGAAAGAUAAGAGAAGUGAUCUUGGGUUUGGUGAUAACUUCUCAAAACAACAAAAAAAUUCUCGAAAGAAAAAUAAUGACAAUUGACUUCAUUAAAAUUUUAAAAAAUUGUUCUGGGAAAGACAUACAGAUAAUUAAAUGACAAAAUAUAUGAAGAACUCUUCAAACUCCACGGUCCGAAUUUUUUAAAAGGCAGAGGGGAGACCCAAACAGACUUCUCACCAAAGAAAAACAACUAAAUAAAUAUGUAAAGAGAUGUUCAGCACCAUAUGUCAUUAAGGAAUUACAAAUUAAGUCAGCAAUGAGAUACUUCUACACACUUACAUUACAUAGCUAAAAUCCAAAACAGUGAUAACACCAAAUGUCAGUGGAGAUGUGGAGAUCACAGCACCUUUACAACAGUUUGGCCAUUUCUUACAAAAGUGCAUGUACUCAUGUCAUUCCGCAUGAGUUGAAAUUUCCUGUCCACACAAAAAGACUGCACACAAAUGUUUAUAACAGCUUGAUUAAUAAUUGCCAACACUUGAAAGCAACAGAGGGGUUCUUUGGUAGGUGGAUGGAUAAACUGACUGUGGUGUAGCCAUGCAGUGUAAUAUUAUUAAGUGAUGAAGUGAUCUAUAAGGACACAAAAAAGACUUAGUAUAACUUUUUUUUUUAAUUUUUUUUUUAUUUUUGGUACCAGGGAUUGAACUCGGUAUCUUGCACUUGCAAGGCAGGCAGCAGAACCACUGAGCUAAAUCCCUGGCCCGACUUAGUAUAACUUUAAAUGCAUAUUGGGGAGAGAAAGAAGCCAAUCCUCAAAGGCCACACGUAGUAGAGUCCCAUCUCUCUGACAUUCUGGAAAAGGCAAAAGUACAAAGUAGUAAAAAGAUCUGUGGUUGUUGAGAGUCACAGGGAGAGAGGGAAAGAUGGCUGAGUAGGUGGAGCGCUGGGGAAUUUUAGGACAGUGAGACUGCUGUGUGAUGCCCUCACGAUGAGUGCACAACACUGUACCAUUGUAAGGCCCUUAAAAUGUACAGCACUCUGAUGUAAACUACAGUCUAGUUAAUAAUAAUGUGUCUGUAUCGGCUCACCCAUGAUAACAAGUGCACUAUAAUAAUGCAAGGUGUUACUAGAGGAAAUGUAGAGAGUGAGUUCUCUAAAAUGAUAGUUUAUUGAACACAAUUUUUAAUUAAAAGGAGAAAUUUAAAAAUCAAUUCUUUGAGGAAUUUGUUGCAGUGAUAGAAAUGUCUGUAUCUGGACUAGAUUGGUGGUCAUACGUGCGUAUACAUUCAUCAAAACUUAUUUAUACUAAAAAAACUGGUUUAUAUUCUUAGACAUUCCACUGUAAGUUUGGGUUUCCUUCUGUGUAAAUUUUACUUCAACAAUAAAAUCAAUGCUUUAUUGUCUUUUGUUCCUUAAUUUGUCAGUGGUCAACUAUACACAUCACCUAACCCUGGAAACCUGAAGGAAGGAGAGCCCACCUAUAAAUAAGUGUCCUUGACCUUGAGAAGAUACAAAGAGGCCCUGCCAUAUUCUUAAGUGUCAUGAAUGGUGAAGAGUAGCUCUCUCAAAGGCCUGCUCUAGUGGGGUUGGUCUUCUUUCAAGUUAGUUAAUAUGCAGAGGGAAAAUUCUAGAUCCAGGUUUCUUUCUCUAACUGUAGCUUUUGUUGCCAUCUCAUUAUAGCCUUUCUUUCAGCUUUGGUCACAAGUACAAUGCCACUUCGGGUCUGGGCCCACACAUAAAGAAAUCUUGGUCCAGAAGUACUGUCGGGAGCUUGUCUGGAACGACGUGGGAGGCCUGGGCAGGUAGAGAGGGAGGGCACAGCCAAGGCCCACAGGUAAGAGCUGGUGCACAGGCAGAGGAAGGGGCUGGCCUGACUUCCUGAGGGAAGGUUUGUGUUCGGGAGCU